UAUGUUCAAAAAAAACGAAAAUAGUGUUCAUCUUACAAAAUGGUUUCAAUAGCAAAUAAUAUUAGGUUCCUCGCUCUACUUUGUUGCAUCAUGCUGGUUUCAACCCACAUAGCAAGUUUCACAACUUUGUUUACAAAAACUGCAUCUCAAGUGAAUAAGUUUUCAUGGUGCCGGAAGAUCUUGAGUGAUCCGGGGGGAGGCGGUGGAGAUUCUGAUGGACACGGCUUCUAGCACCUCCGGCACCAUCACGUAAAUGAUGUAAUGGACAGUUAUGUAUUCACGUGGCUAUACAUGAAUGGGAUUAUAUAUGAUCGAUGUUGAUAUGUUAUCAUGACGAGAGUCAAUAAAUAAAAUUCAAACUUCCUUUUGGAAACAUAGCCACACUUACAAAAACUUUCAUUCUUCAAGCAUGUUAUCUUUUACGUAUUAGUUAAAUGAAGUGAAUGAAGCCUCCAACUAA